UAACAGCGUUAGGCAGCCCUGGUGCUCAUUAAACGCCUCUGACUGGAAGGAUGUAAUGAACCAGUUUUAUUACAAUAGUAAUUUCUUCCUAUCACAUUUGGUGGUUAUCUAUUCACGGGGGAUGUAGGGAAGGGAGGAGGAUCAGCACAGACCGGUGCAUUAAGAUAUAUUACUAUGGAGAAGCUGACACAAGAGUGUGUGGCUGACAGACAGCAGAGAGCUGAGGCAGAGAGCAGAAUAUCCCCAAGUCCAUUAUAACGGUGUCCAACUGACCUUUACAGAAAAUAUGUAAGAACAAUAAAAAAGGGCCUUUGUGGCUCUGGGUGCAGCUCGGAGGUGGUUUUGCAGCCCAUCUCCCAGCAGCUGCUCCUUGCCAUGGCGUGGGAUGCUGUGGGUGAGGUGGGGGAGCUCACAGCACUCCGAGUCCCUCAUAACCACAGCAAGUUUUCUACAUUUGUGCAAAGAGAUAAUCUGUGAUUCAUAACCAUUUAAAUAAAUGGCUAAUCAAUUUCUAUGGGUUGCUAUAGAGCCCAAUAAAUCAAACCCAGGCUGAUUAUAACCAUGGCUUAUAGCCAUCUCAUAAUACCUUCCACUGAUGUGCUUAUAAUAAUCUGUAACAUCCGCUACUGCUGUCGGUAACUCAUUUAAAACACCAGUUACUACUUUUUCAACUUACUAAAAGCGCAGAGAGAGUAAAUAUUCCUCAAUAUCUGUAAACCACGUGACCUUUCCUGGUUGCAAACUUAGGGCUAAAUCGAUGCUCAUCGGAGGCAAGGAAGGAUUCCUUACCUAUGAUGGUAAGGAAGGUGAUGGUAAGGAGGAUGAAGGUAAGGAAGGUGAAGGUAGGGAAGGUGAUGGUAGGGAAGGUGAUGGUAGGGAAGGUGAAGGUAAGGAAGGUGAAGGUAGGGAAGGUGAUGGUAGGGAAGGUGAUGGUAAGGAAGGUGAAGGUAAAGAAGGUGAUGUUUUGCAGCUGGGCUUGGCGAGGAUAGCCCUUUUCCAAGGGAGACAUAGGAGUUCAGAGUCAGAUCCAUCCCUUGGAAGACCCACACCUGAAUUUCUGCUUUCAAAGCCUACACAACAGCAGAGGAAUUAAAAACCUGUGAGCCUGGAUGCUUUCAGAUCCCGCAGCCACCAGGUUUUGCUUUUUUUUGCUCUGCCAACACAUCUAUUUUUUCUCUUUCUGCUUUGACUCACACAACUCUUUGGAAGAAGCUCCAUUGGCUUAAAUA
ensembl:lncRNA